CAUGGUUCUCUGAGGCUGGGGAAAGUGAAACUAGGCUUUUGGGUUUCAGUAAUAGAAUAAGGGUCCUGUCUCCCUUUCAGACUUACACUGGUGAACUCUUCAAACACAGAAUGGGGGUCAACUACUGCGCAGCUUUGAAAAAUCACAAAUACAAUCACUUAAAUUGUAAGCUAGUCUUUGUCUGCCUGUCUCUCUCUCAGAACACAGUAAGCACAGCAAGGAUCCACUCACACUUACUGCAUUUCCUUAGCCCUCAACACAGCACUUGACCAGACAGAGAGGAAUGAAGACCCUACUGUCUCUUUUUGCCAGAGUUCUGUAAGAUAGAAUACUAGCCGAGUGCUGCUGGAGAACUGCCUAGCCUCCCAGAGUUGCAUAAUGGGCUUAAAUUUAGAACUAGAAUUAACCUGACAGAAUUCCCUGCAUUUCCCAUCUGAUCUUCAAGCAAAGCCCUAAAAAGCCCUACAGCUUUAAAAACCCUAAAUGGGUAGAAUGGCUCCAAGAAAAAUCAUUCCACCUUACACAGUAUCCACUAUGUGCCAGGUGUUCUACAGACGGUAAAUAACUCAUUUAACGCCAUAAACAUUGUUAUGGAGUGAAUGUUUAUAUUCCCCAGAAUUCAUAUGUUGAAAUCCCAACCCCCAAAGGGAUGGCAGUAGGAACCAAGGCCUUUGGAAAGCAAUUAGGGGAUGAGAGUGAGCCCUCAUGAAUGGGAUUAGUGCCCUUAUAAGAAGAGAAAUGAUUUUUCUCUGGGUCGUGUGAGGACAGCUGAUCUGCCAGUGCCUUGAUCUUGGACUUUCCAGCCUCCACAACCGUGAGGAAUAAACAUUUGUUGUUUAAGCCACCAAGUCCGUGAACUAAGACGAAUCCUCUGAAAUAGGUACGAUCCCCAUUUUCAGAUGAGGAAAUCUACAUGUGUGGAACUGGAAAACGGGCACUUGUCCUUGAGGCCAGUGCUACUGAAAGUGUGGUCCCUGGAUAUCAGCACCUCUUGAGAAACUGUUAAAACUGCAAGUCAUAGGUUCUACCACAGACCUGCUGAAUCUGAAUCUCUGAAGGAGGGGCCCAGCAAUCUACAGUUUAACAAGCUUCGCUGGUAUUUCUUAUGCCCACUAAAAUUUGACAGCCACUACUCUACAGCAGUGCUUCCAGAAGUGUGGUACACUUUCCUUCGAGGGCAUAACACACUUGCCACACGGACAAACUUCUUAAAAAAUUUAGCUGUUAGGUAUUCAUUUUAAUAUGUAUUGGGUAAAAAAACCUGGCUCAUACAUUGAACCCAUGAUUUCACAGACAUACUGCUUAAGAUGAUGCCAAAUCUACUUAAGUCAAAUGAGAGAAUAAGUAUUAAAAAAAAAAAACCAAUAUAGUUGCAGGAAACUAUGGUAAAAACAGUGAAACUGAUACAUAAAUUACUAAAUCCUGGGAUACAUUUCAUACCUCCAGUCCCAGCUGUAAAUCAGAGAUGAGAACAUUAGCCCUGCUUCUACAUGGGCUUCUUCCAAGAUCCACCACCCUUUCUAAAAUCUCCUCCACCUAAUACCUUAAUUUAACCUUAGAACCUUUGUCCAUGCCUUUCAACCCAAAGUAAAAUAAAGAGAGAGAAGGAAGUUUGUAGGUCCUUCUCUGACAGGAUGAGAGCUUGAGAACCCUGAAUGAAAGAGAUGAUGAAGGAGGAAAGACUAUAAAAGUGGAAAAGGGCUCAGCACUGGAAGGCUGCAGGUAACAAAGACAAACGUCUGCCAUCUCCCCCAAUUAUUGGUCCCAGUGUCACUCACCACCCAUCCCUGGGCUCUAUUGGCAAAAGGACCUCCAGCUGGCAGGAUUAAAAUGGGAAGGGGCAGUCAGAGCUGACAUCAUAAUUUUUCUACUACUAAUAAUAAUGCUUGCUUCCUAUUAUUAUUCAUACUAAAGUCAUUUAAAUCCCACUCAAUAAGAGGUUUAACAAGCCCAUUAAGAACAGGAAAUCUAUUUCCUGCCUGGCACUGUUUACGCACAUCACUAGGAGACGCUCGCUGGCUGGGGGAGCCCCAUUAGCUCUAACCAAGAGUCUUGGCAGGAGCUCGUGUAGGAAAAUAAAUCCCUCCAGUAGAAUUACUAUGUGGUCAGUGAGGUCAUAGCUCCCGUCUGGCUGGGCUGUAUUCUAAGCUGAAGAUCCAGAGAAGCACCAAGAUCACUCUAUAGUUCUGUUAGAGACGGGGAUCUUCCUCCUGAAGCCAGUCUACCAGCAUUUCCAGCUCCGAGGAAAGCUGAGAAAUCUCUCAGAACCCCGACUCUUGGAUGGCUCCUUUUGAGCCAAGAGACUACUUCUAGGCCCACCCUUCUACAGCCCCCUCAAGACUCAAAUUCCCUCUGUUGCCUUCCAUCAAGAAAGGAUUGUGUCUAGGUAAUCCAGCAACCAGAGUCACAAACGGUUUUUAAGGAUCAUCCAUGGUGGAGAACCUCAAUACUACAACGUCUGACCAAGACCUCAGAACCUCCCAAACGGACUGACGCUUUCUCGCCAGCAGAGGGCAGCAGCUGUCAGAGGCUGGAGCCAUUGGUGUGCCGCCAUCUCAGAAGCGCACGUGCAACCAGCAUGAUGAAUGAUAUUGAUACGCAAGGCACACUCCCACGGCAAAGAAUCUCCAGGGAGCACGUCAAAUGCAGGUGAGGGGAAGUGAUGCUGUUUUAGCAAUGACCCUGAAUCUGAUCUGAUUUACAUUCCCAAUAAAUCUGGCAAAAUUUCCAUAUUUGAAUUAUUAUUUAGUAACAUAUUACAUGUGAUAUAUCUCACCACUGAUCAUGAUACAUCAACAUGUCCCCACACCGAGGUUGAUAUCAGCUGGUUUAAGAAGCACCAGGAAACUUCACCCUCACAUACAUAUUUCCUUUACAGUCAGUAAAAUGCAAUGCCUGAUAUUACAGCUUUUGAGAUUUAGUUGAGUUUUGAAGGAUUUUAGAGUCUCAAGAGCUCUGGAUUAAAAUGGAGAUGCCAUCUAUGCUGUUAUUGUUUAACAAAUUAAAUUUCAAUUUAACCAGCUUCCUGGCAUGCAUCGCAGAAUAGACAUAUGGAUUAGUGCUGCCAGGAAGACUGGGCAGGCUGAAGAAUAAGGAGAGCCAAUGGAAACCUUCACUUCUUUUGUGUUCUCCUUGAAAAAUGGUCUAUGCCCACCUAUCCAAAGCAGCCUGGGCUAGAGGAGAGGUUCCAGCCAAGGGGAGCAGGGCUGGUCCAUGAGGGUCUACACACAUGGCAACAUUCCCUUUGGAAAGGGAAAUUAGAGCUCCUCACCUUCCCGAUCCCAGUCUCACAUUUCAACAUCAUCAAAAUUUAACAUCUUUCCAUAACAGCCAAUUGCAUUAUUCAUUUUGUUAAAAAGACAAAUCUGAAACAACAAAAGAAUGAUUAAAGAUGUAGCUUAACCUCUUCUGUUUUCCUCUAAGAAACAAGUUGUUUGUUUUCCUUAUACAAUGUUGGAAAGAAUGUUCUUCUCUUUCUCCGGGAUCAACAUUAUUCCAUCAUUGGCCCUUACUGAUAUUUCAUUUUGAGUUUCUAUCUUACCUAUAUAAUCUAUACCUAAGAUGCACUUAUAAAGGGAAAUAAUCAUGUUCCAUGGUAAGGUGGCAGAUUUAAAGUUCCGCCAGAUAAAGUGAUUUGUCCAAGAUCAAAGGCAGGGUGACUAUCCAAGUCAAGGGUUCUGCCCUCUGAACCACACAUCUUUGAAGCGGGGCAGCUGUAUGGCAUUCUCCACUCUCCUCUGUGCCCUGUUGCACUAGUGGAGACAGGAUGAAGGAUGCUAAGGGAUAGUAGGAGCAUGUUUGCGUGGCAACCAAAAAAAAUAAAUAAAUACACUAGAACGUGGGCUCUGAGCCAUUUCUAUCCCUUCUUUGUUGUCAACCUUGGAAAAGUCACCAAUCCAUUACACGACUCGAUUUUCCCAUUUAUGAAAGGAUGAUCUGACAAACUCUGCCUUGACCAAUAUAUAAGGACAUUGCCACAAAACUAUAAAUUAAGGCUUUUUGAAAGUUAAUCUUAUAGUGCUGUUUAUUUUGUGCUUACUAUGUACCAGGCACAGUAUUAUCCUCUUCAUAUCUGUCAUCUCACUAACCCUUACAAAUGUCCUUUGAAGUGGAUGCCAUUAGGGUCCCCAUUUUACAGAUGAGGAAAUGGAGACAGAGAUAGCAGGUGACUGCCUAAGACAACUCAAGCUGGUGAGUGGCAGAGUUGAGGGGUGAGCCCCACAUCAGCCUCCAGAACCCGUGCUCUUGACUGUUCUGUGCUGUACAUGUAAUGGGCCACAUGAGGGAUUUGGCAGGACAAAUGGAUGAAUUUGGUGGAUGACUGGAAGGCGGGAUCCAGAGACAUAUCAAAUAGACCUUCUCCCCCAGAAAAUAGGUUAGUUGUUUCAAGUCUGAAAAAGAGUGGAAGACACUCCCCUGAACCGCCCCUCCUGCAGAUCUCAGAAAACUAGCCCACAAAGGCUAAAAUGGCAGCAGCCAACACCCCUCUGCUCGAGUUCCUGGUGCUCUGAACAUCCUGCAGGUGGAAAAGAUUAACAAUCAAAGGGGAUGCUCGGGACCCGGAAUCACAGACCAGCAGCCGGAACUGCUGCUCCCAGGUGUAGCCAACUUGGAAGAUUCUGUGUAGAAGCUUUUGUUUGACAAAGCAUGUAGAUGUGAUGAGAAUUUUACUUUUUUCCUUUCCUUUGAAGGCCGGAUUCUGGAGCCUCUGUCCUGCACGGGGCCCCCUCUAGCCUAUUUGGGCCAUGCUUCUGUGCUGUGGACCUGGGAGGGCAGCAGCAAGCACAUGGAGCUGGGAGGAAGGGAGCCCAGCAGAAGGCUCCUACUCCAGCUCACCCACCAGAAACUGCACACCCAGCGGCACCUCACUCAGUCGUGACUGCCAAGCCGAGUAAGCUCAAUGCAUUCUCCCUUCUUUCUUUGUCUGCGACCAGUUUGGUGGUCCUUCUAAUAAGCCCUUCAUUAAUUAAGAGGAGGUGUCAAUGUGCCAACAAAAUUAGAAGUUUCAAUAGCUUCCUAAAAUGGGAGUGUUUCAAAGAAAAUGAAGGCUUGGUCACUCCCUGGUUAUUUUUACUCUCUGCCACCCACCUGCCUUUUGGGCAAUCUGUUCCCAUCCUAUUGCACCCUUCAUUUCCCUCGACACACUCUUCUCUCCCUGGUUUCUGGUUCUUUUUAAAAAUGUUACGCGUGUCUUUUCCCUUCUCUUUCCAACCCUGAUAAAUCCCAACUAGGCUGCAUUUAUUCCUCUCCCCACCCCACAACCUUACUGCCUGGUAGAGAGUUAAUAAGCCAUUUGCUGUGGGUACAGCUAAGUUGGGGAGUUAUCUAGACCAUGGAUUUAAAGAUAAAAUUAAAUGGGCGAUGACGAAAGAAAAAGAGCGAGAUUUAGAUAAACCGGCUGGGAGGGUGGAGCGGGCUAGAAAUAUAGCGCUUGUGACAAAGCAGCUCAACUCCCAGGACUUACCAAAAUUGGAACUUUGUUACCAUGAAAUCACAAGUGUUCCUCCUACUCAAAGAAUAAGCACCAUUGUCAAGCCUCCUGUGGGUGAAUAACCUCCCUGGAUUCUUGCUGACAGAGAGAAGCCUUUCCUACAACUCCAGGGUGAGGUGGGGGGGCGCCUAGGGCCCCGCAGCAGGAGAGGAACAAAGCUUCUGGAGCUAAGAUUUGGAGGCAAACUCAAUCUGGGGACCCCUGAACAGAGUGAGCCUCGAAAUCAGCAGGGAUGGCAGCAAGGCUUGCCGGCCAGUGCUGGAGUGUUUCACACAGCAGGUGGACAUGAACCCCAGAUGGUCACAACCUCCCGUUCUUCCUUCUCAGGGCCCUUCACACUGGCUGCUAGCUCGUCCAUUUUAGGUGCUCAAUACAUUACAGUUGAAAUGAAUCCAAGACCCGGAGUACUUAUUUGGGAUCUGAAAACAUAGACAAGGGAUGGGGUAAAAUGAUCCAGACUUGCAAAUAGUAGGGAAA